rnacentral:rRNA from 1 species
UUAAGGCCGUUAGGUGUAGGCGCAGCGAAAGCGAGUCUUAAUAGGGCGCAUGAGUUCGUGGGAUCAGACCCGAACCGAGUGAUCUAGCCAUGUCCAGGAUGAAGGCAGGGUAACACCUGCUGGAGGUCCGAACCGACACCCGUUGAAAAGGUCCGGAUGAGGUGUGGCUAGGGGUGAAAAGGCUAAUCAAACUCGGAAAUAGCUGGUUCUCCGCGAAAUCUAUUUAGGUAGAGCGUCAGACGAAUACCUUCGGGGGUAGAGCACUGGAUGGGUGAUGGGGUCCCACAGACUUACUGAGCCUAACCAAACUCCGAAUACCGAAGAGUACUAUCUGGCAGACACACAUCGGGUGCUAACGUCCGGUGUGAAGAGGGAAACAACCCUGACCUACAGCUAAGGCCCCCAAUUCACGGCUAAGUGGAAAAGCAGGUGGGACGACCAAAACAACCAGGAUGUUGGCUUAGAAGCAGCCAUCAUUUAAAGAUAGCGUAACAGCUCACUGGUCUAGACAAGUUGUCCUGCGGCGAAAAUGUAACGGGGCUC